GACGGGGGGGCAAGUGUUCUUCGGAAUGACUGGGCGUAAAGGGCACGUAGGCGGUGAAUCGGGUUGAAAGUUGAAAGUCGCCAAAAAGUGGCGGAAUGCUCUCGAAACCAAUUCACUUGAGUGAGACAGAGGAGGAGUGGAAUUUCGUGUGUAGGGGUGAAAUCCGAUAGAUCUACGGAAGGAACGCCAAAAGCGAAGGCAGCUCUCUGGGUCCCUACCGACGCUGGG
rnacentral:rRNA from 1 species